rnacentral:rRNA from 1 species
UACAGAGGUCUCGAGCGUUGUUCGGAUUCAUUGGGCGUAAAGGGUGCGUAGGCGGCGCGGUAAGUCGGGUGUGAAAUCUCGGGGCUUAACUCCGAAACUGCAUUCGAUACUGCCGUGCUUGAGGACUGGAGAGGAGACUGGAAUUUACGGUGUAGCGGUGAAAUGCGUAGAUAUCGUAAGGAAGACCAGUGGCGAAGGCGGGUCUCUGGACAGUUCCUGGACGCUGGAGGCACGAAGGCCAGGGGAGCAAAACGGG